AGACGUAGGGGGCAAGCGUUACCCGGAAUUACUGGGCGUAAAGGGGGCGUAGGCGGUAAAAGAAGUCAUCUGUGAAAACCUAUUGCUCAACGAUAGGCUAGCGGAUGAAACUGAAUUACUUGAGGGCACCAGAGGUAGACGGAAUUACCCGAGUAGGGGUGAAAUCCGCAGAUACGGGUAGGAACGCCGGUGGAGAAGUCGGUCUACUGGGGUGCACCAGACGCUGAGGCCCGAAAGCUAGGGGAGCAAACCGGAUUAGAUACCCGGGUAGUCCUAGUCGUAAACGAUGCUCACUAGGUGUAGGGAGUGAUAAACUCUCUGUGCUGAAGCGAACGCGCUAAGUGAGCCGCCUGGGGAGUACGUCCGCAAGGAUGAAACUCAAAUGAAUUGACGGGG
rnacentral:rRNA from 1 species